GACAGAGGAUGCAAGCGUUAUCCGGAAUGAUUGGGCGUAAAGCGUCUGUAGGUGGCUUUUUAAGUCCGCCGUCAAAUCCCAGGGCUCAACCCUGGACAGGCGGUGGAAACUACCAAGCUGGAGUACGGUAGGGGCAGAGGGAAUUUCCGGUGGAGCGGUGAAAUGCGUAGAGAUCGGGAGGAACACCCGUGGCGAAGGCGGGUCUCUGGGCAACAACUGACGCUGAGGAGCGAAAGCGUGGGGAGCGAACAGG
rnacentral:rRNA from 1 species